rnacentral:rRNA from 1 species
GAUGAACGCUGGCGGCGUGCCUAAUACAUGCAAGUCGAGCGAACAGACCAGGAGCUUGCUCCUCCGACGUUAUCGGCGGUCGGGUGAGUAACACGUGGAUAACCUACCUAUACGACUGGGAUAACUUCGGGAAAUCGGAGCUACUACCGGAUAAUAUAUUGAACCGCAUGGUUCAAUAGUGAAAGACGGUUUUUCUGUCACUUAUAGAUUGAUCCGCGCUGCAUUAGCUAGUUGGUUAGGUAACGGCUUAGCAACGCAACGAUGCGUAGCCGACCUGAGAGGGAGGACGGCUACACGGGAUGUGAGGCUGAGCACAGACACCGACGGGAGGCAGCAGUAGGGAAUCUUACGCGAUGGAGGAAUGCCGAACAGAGGAACGUGGCGUGAAUGAUGAAGGAGUUAGGAUCGUAGAACUCUGUUAUUAGUAAAGUACAAAUGUGUUAGUAACUGUGCUCAUAAUGACAGUACCUGGACAAAAAGCUACGGCUAACUACGUG